UACGUAGGGCGCAAGCGUUGUUCGGAAUUACUGGGCGUAAAGGGCGCGUAGGCGGCUUUUUAAGUCAGACGUGAAAUCCCCCGGCUUAACCUGGGAACUGCGUCUGAUACUGGGAAGCUUGAGUUCGGGAGAGGGAUGUAGAAUUCCAGGUGUAGCGGUGAAAUGCGUAGAUAUCUGGAGGAAUACCGGUGGCGAAGGCGGCAUCCUGGACCGAAACUGACGCUGAGGCGCGAAAGCUAGGGGAGCAAACGGG
rnacentral:rRNA from 1 species